UUUUAUAAUGCACAUAUUACAUGUUGCGUUUUAAUUAGAAAGUUAUAGGUUAAUGUUUUAACAUUCUCAUCAUGUAGUAUUUUUUUAUAAUAAAAAUAAAAAAUGCCAAAAAUUAGCAUUGCAUCAUUAUGUCACCUUUUUUAAUGAAAAUUACUAGGUCAUUUCAAAUAAAAAAAGAAAACACAAAAGUCUUUUACCCGGUUAAUUAACAGGUUAGUUCAUAAUUAAUCCAAUGUCAUGUCAUCAUUGUUUAAUAU
rnacentral:lncRNA from 1 species